UUUAUAUUAAAGGAGAUUUAGCCUAAACUGGUAAUCCCACUGUAAGAAAUGACGUUCGCGGGAGUGUACUCUCUUGGAAAAUGUGCGCACAUGAAUAUGAAUUGACGGACCCGAAUUAGUACACUAAAGUGUCCCCCUGAAAAUCCAUCAAAAUUUCGAAAAAUUCAACGGGAUAAAAAUAGAAAAAUGAUAAGUACUUAAAAUCAUGAAAUUAAACUUGAAAUACAUAGAAAUGAUAAUUAUUUGAUAUACUAAAAUAUGACAUGGAAAAUACAUGUAUGUGAAACUUGUCUGAUAAUUAUGCAUAUUCAAGAUUAUGAACUGCUACUGGAAUAAAUAUACAUUGAAAUCUAAAAAAAAUUAUGGUACAUGAAAUAUUGUCAUAAUGAAUUGAAUAAUUUAUAUUUAAAAAGAAACAACAAGAAAAUGAUAUGUAUAAUGACAUGUAAAUAUGAGACUAUCUUUGAUACGUUGAUACUAAGAAAAAUUAUGUGUAUUAAGACGAGUAAUAAAUUUAAGUGAGACAUGGCGAGAAAAUAAGUUUGUCAAUAUUAAAGUACGCUAACCAAUGUUGUUGCUUGAAUUUUAGGCAAGUGCCAAAUUACUAUUGAAUGAUAAUAUGUUUAAUUAUAAGGUGCUUUGGAAUGGUAAGUGCUUAGAUAAAAAUAUAAUUGAGCUUAUGAAAGAGUGGAAAGGUUUCAGUUAUGCAAUUUCUUAUGAAAAAAUUUGUUAUAUGAUACGCCCCGUAUGAACCCUGCACCUAAUUUGAAAAUAAAAAAAAAAUUAAAAUCUAUAUAUAUAUUUAGGAUUUUGCGAAAAAUUUCCUAUGAUUCCGAUUUAAUCUCAGUAGGUUCCUAAUAAAUGUUUUGGGCUUCGAGAGCCCAAUAGAGGGACGUUAUGAUUAUUUUCAGAAUAUGAAUAAUAAAUGGUUCAAAAUUAUUGAAAAUGUUUAGUAAACUCCGGUAAUGCUUCGUGCCCUAUUUCGACAACGGAUAUGGGUAGGGGGUGUUACACUUCUUCCCAUUUCGGUAAAAGCAUUUCCACCAAGAUUGCAAUCAUCGGAUGCAACAAAGUCGGGUGAAAACAAUUGCAAACCAUGAUUGUGCGUAUUAAAUGCAUCCCGCAACAUACCUUCCAUGUCAUCUUUUCUAACAGACUGAUGGUAAUCACUAUGAGGAUAAGCCAGAUUAAUCGUCGAAGAGAUUCUACUGGUGUGCACUCUCCAUGGAAAAUCCAUUUUUUAUACCCCCGAAUAAACCCAUCAACAAUUAGAUGUUCGUAGACAACUUUACGAAAAUGCCAAUUGAUGUUGCCACACUUUUUACACAGGCAAAGAAUCAUAUUCUCUUGGCUUGCAUUUUGAAAUGCAAAAUUUAGAAAAGUUUGUAGUCCAUUUCGUAGUUCUUGAAGUCUAAAGUUGACAAUAAAUUACACGGGUAAGUUGUUUAUUUAUAAGUAUAAUUAAGUUAUGUAAGUUAUGAUAUGAUAUAUAUUUAUGUAUUAUGUAAGUUAUGAUAUGAUAUAUAUAAGUUAUGUAAGUUAUGAUAUGAUAUAUAUAAGUUAUGUAAGUUAUGAUAUGAUAUAUAUAACUUAUGUAAGUUAUGAUAUGAUAUAUAUAUAUAAGUUAUUAUGUAUGUAUGUGAGUUAUGUAAAUUAUGAUAUGAUAUAUAUAAGUUAUUAAGUUAAGAUCCCAAGUUUUUUUUCAAUUCUUUAAAGUUAAGUAAAUUAUGUAAGUUAUGUAAGUUUUGAUAUGAUAUAUAUUUAUGUAAGUUAUGUAAAUUAUGCAAGUUAUGUAAGUUAUGAUAUAUAUUUUAUAAGUUUUAAAAACAUUUAAAAAUAUUAAAUAUUAAAAUCAAACAUUUUUAAUAUCAAAAAAAUAGUAAUUUGAUUUUUAUAUUAAAAUAAAUUUAAAUAAUGAUCAAAAUUAUCAUAUUGAUAAAAAAUAUUUAUAAGUUUUAAAAAAAUUUAAAAAUAUUAAAUAUUAAAAUCAAAUAUUAAGUUUUGAUAUGAUAUAUAUUUAUGUAAGUUAUGUAAAUUAUAUAAUAUUUUAAAAUAGAAACUUUAAAAUAUUAUUUUAAGCGGAUAUUAUUUAUUUUAAUUUUAAAGACAAAAUCGUAAAUGAAUCUCUUUUUUUUUUUUAAAAAAAAAACUCUAAUAAACCUGGAAGUUAUAUAUAACGAAAGCUGUCAUGAGUGUGAAAGGGGAAACUAUAAGAUUCAAAGUUGUAAAUUUUAGAAACAAAAAAAAAAAAAAGUUAGGCAAAUGUUCAAUAAUGAUUUAUGAAUGAAAUAUUCAGAUUAUUAGUUUGAAUUGAUUGAUUUAAUUAGUGAAAUAAGGUGAUUCUAGAAUUAAUAAUAUCAUUUUCAUUAUUAUGAUUGGUGGUCUGCAAAUUAUUCACUCUGACAAUUAAAUUAUUUUGACAAAACUUACUAUUUUCCUCUAAAUCAUGUAUAUUCAUGAAUCUUGAUUUUGAUCCCAGUGGGGGAAAAUUUUCAUUUUAUGGCUAUGAAUUUGGAAGAGUUGAAGUUCAUCUUCAUCAAAGAGAUGACAAAGCUAUUACCUUGUCAUAUAGGAAGGUAGAGCAAUUUACCGUGAAGAAAUUUGUCAAAAUUUAACUCAAGUUAAUGGCUUAACAAUUGAAGUAAUGAAUGAUACAGAAGCAGAGACAAAUGAUGCAGAGGCAGAGACAAAUUUCAUGAUUGAAGUAGAAUGCUCAAGUUAGGUUUACGGAUUCAAAAAUUACACUAUCACAUUCAACUAUAGAACCAAAAGGGGGAAAGGGAAGAAAAACAAAAAGGCAGAAAAUAAGGAAUGAGAAAUUGAACCAAAAGGCAUAAGAUAUAGAAAUAGAAGGAAUACAAUAAGAGAUUCCAGCAAAAGAGAAAAACAGAUUUGCAAAGAACUAUUUGUUAUUAUAACGCAGGAAUGCUCAAAGCAAAUAUGGAGAAAAACGUUGAUUGAUUAAGAUAUAUAUAUAUAUAUCUUAAACAUUCAGCAUUAAAAGAAAAGAAGAUAUUGGUGAUUAUGUAUACAAAAAUUUCGGGGGGGUGGGGGGGGAGAAGAAGAAAAGAGAGCUUACCGAGCUCGAAAACUUGAAGAAUGGGAGGGAAACACUAAUAAGGGAUUUUGUUACGGAAAAUCCUAAUUUGUGAGAUUGAAAGAGAAGCUUUUAAUUUCGCACGAGCUUUAGAAUCGGGGUUGU
rnacentral:lncRNA from 1 species